UUUUAAUUUGGUUCUGGUUAACUAAUUAGCUUUUUUGUUAGAUAACACAUGCAAAUACCUGUAAACCCGUAAAACUAGGAGGAUACACCAAUCUAAAAGAAGAAAACCUCAAUUUAUGUUAAUUCUUAUAACAAUUGAAGACUACGCCUGCAGUGAAAAAUACUGAUAUAAUUAUGAAAAUAAGAUACGGUAAACAAAAGAAGGACUGACCAAAUGCGUGCCAGCAGUCGCGGUUAGACGAUAGGUCCGAGUUAAUUGCAACGGAGAAAUGAAGCUUCAACCACAGAUAGUAAAAAGAAAACAAAGGUACAAUUUUACAGCCGAAUAAAUAUAACUAUCUUCAUACCCAUUCAACAAAGUUCAGACCAAAACGAGGAUUAGAGACCCUUUUAUUCUUAACCCCACUUUACUCUCCUGGCACUACGAGCACAUGCUUAAAACCUAAAAAACUUGGCGGUGUAUUCAACAUACUAGGGGAGCCUGUUUUAUAACCGAUGAUCCGCGUUCUUCUUCACCUAAGCUUGAAAUUCAGCCUGUGUACUGCCGUCUAAAGUUUACAUAGCGAUGUUGGAGCCUAAAAGAUGACCUCUCCCAUGUCAGGUCGAAGUGCAGCUAAUGCUUAGGACGAAAUGGGCUACAUUUUAAAUACAUACGAAUUGAUUUAAUAACUUAUUCAUGAAGCCGGACUUAGCAGUAAAAUGUAAAUAAUACAUACACUUGAAGAGGCAAAUUGAAGCGUGCACAAAUCGCCCGUCGCUCUUUCUGAAAAGAAAGAUAAGUCGUAACACAGUUAGUGUAAUGGAAAUUGCACUUACCGGAAU
rnacentral:rRNA from 1 species